UCUAAAAGGUAAGCUGGAGUGAUUUGGACAAAGGGAGCAAGAAAAGAGGGUCCUGGGUAAGGGAAACCCACCUGCAAAGACCACGAUGCAAAGAGCUUGCAUAUGUUGUUUCCUACUAUGUGUCAGGCCCCAUGUGGAGUAUUGGGGUGCAGAGCUGAGUAAGAUACAGGCCAGCCCCCACGAAGCCGGCAGUCUGAGUGAAGGAGACUACCAAGAACCUGAGCCCACCCCGGGAAUGGUUCUUGGCACCUCGUCCAAGAAGCUGCCACUGCUGAUCUCACUGCCCAGUUACUCUGAGAUCGUCCAGAACCCCCAUGUCGGACCACACAAGCAGCCUUCAACUGGCACGUCUUCAAGCACCUUUUGUUAACAAACUCCAGACUUCAUACUUAUGGUAAGACAUUCGCCCUGCGUGCCUGAUGACAGCCUUCUCUGACGCACCUUGGAUGCUACAGUCCUUGCCUGAGCCUCGCUGAGUGCAUCGCCUGGAACACCCUGAAAGGUAUCUUCUCCACCCAUAGGCAUUGGGCAAAGCACAGCUCAAUGCCUCCUCCUCCCUCUGCCUUCCCCAUUUCUGCUCGUCUGAUGUGCUUCCGUGUCCAGCAUUUUAUUCGUGUCUUUCAGAGCAUUUGCCCAGCUGUAUCCAAGCCCCCUUCCCCAAUCUUUGUCCACUGUAUCCUCCCACGAUGGUGAUUCGCAAACUCUGUGUGAAGGAAAGACCAGCAUUUUUUUGUGUGUAGUUUUUACUUUUGUAAAUUUCCAAUCCAUUGCAGACUGAUGAUUUUGUAAAAUAAAAUGAAAUUUACAAACCAACGACAUAUAAAAAUAUAAGCCUUAGUUCCAUUCUUGCUAGGUUCAAGUUGCUCUAACAGUCUCUACACCCCUACUCUCAAUUUCUAUACUUUUCUCAUCGCUGGCCAGUAAGUUUUCAGGCCAUACAUGGAAGAGCAGUGUCCUCCAGCUCCUGUGAGCAGGUUCUGCAUGUGGUCAGCGCUCCACACGCUUUAUGGAAUUCACUGGAAACUUCCCACCAGUGCUCCUCCGGUAUGAGAGGGGAUGCACAGAGGAGAGUCUUUGUGGAGGAGCCUCAGAAUGCAGAGGCCCACUCUGGUGACGCUUGUACGCAGAUUUGGGUGUGGACACUAGUUCUGUGUCUAAGUAGCUUCAUGGCCCUGAACGUGUUACCUGAGUGUGGCCUUGACCUGAAGGUGGACCAGGGGUCUUAAACUUUUUUGUGCCAUGGACUUAGUCUGGGGAGGCUGAUGGAGAUUUUCUCAGAAUGUUUUAAUUCUUUCAAUGCAGAAGUAAAAAAACCACAGGAUUUCAAAGGAAAUUAAUUAUUCUCAAAUACAAUUAUUAAAAUGUUGGUGUCAAAUGUUUAUGAACACAUGAAAAAUAAUGAUAUUUGUUAGUGGACAAAGCAUCGGCUAUAAUUUGAAGUCCUGGUGAACGUGAAAUUAUAUUUCAAGUACCUACAACUGUACUGUGAUUUAAAAAUACCAGUGACUUCUUUAUGACUGUCACAAACACUGUUAGUGUUACUGUGAUUUAUUGCCUGUACUCACGAUUGAAGGAACUGUUUAAUUUCAGAAUAAUAAAA